rnacentral:rRNA from 1 species
UACGGAGGAUGCAAGCGUUAUCCGGAAUGAUUGGGCGUAAAGAGUCCGCAGGUGGCUGGGUAAGUCGGCUGUCAAAGAGCAAAGCUCAACUUUGUAAAGGCAGUGGAAACUACACGGCUAGAGUGCGUUCGGGGCAGAGGGAAUUCCUGGUGUAGCGGUGAAAUGCGUAGAGAUCCGGAAGAACACCGGUGGCGAAGGCGGCCUGCUGGGCAGUGGCUGACACUGAGGCGCGACAGCGUGGGGAGCAAACAGG